CUCGUGCAGGCCGACACUCAGCAGCACAUUUACAGGUGGGAGACAGGACGCCGAGCAGCCGGGGACGCGCAGGGACCCGCGGUGAUGCACAUCCACAGAUCAGGACAAAUAUGAGGGGAAAAAGAAAUCCUCGGAUUACCGGAGAGACAGCAGGAGGACUUUAUGGAUGAAGAUGAUCAUCAUAAACGUCUUUAUAUGGAAAGGCCAGAGUCAAAGGUGUCGUGACAGCUGCUGGGAGGACUGGUUUUCACUCAGAGCCGCAGACUGGUCGCACGGAGCUCCCACAAAACUCCUGCGCAGCAAUGUGGCAACUCUGAGGAGUCGAUGACGUCUCUUCUGACGGAUUUCGAUCGGAAGGAGCGGCUGAUUGGAUCUUAAACUUGGAAUUGUCUAAAUAUCGAGUCGAAACCUGAUGUCAGCUGAGGAGAAGUUUUGCACUGAGCCUGGAGGAAAGAGCCAACAAAACAUGCAUGAGUUUGCCAACAAACAAAGACACGAUAUUGUUCGCACUCACCUCCAGAUUGUCAACAAGGAGACAAGGUCAAGAUGUGGAGAGAGCUGACAAGGACAAAUACAGCGAGGAAGAGUCAUGGAUGACAUUAACUGAGGGAAGUGUGUAAAGAGAGCUUGUCUUUACACAGUCUGGGUAAUUUUUCCACUAACAAACAUCCCUCAUUGGAUUUUAAAUCACAAUGACUCAUUUUAAAAUUCUUGAUUGAUGUUUUAUUUUAGUGUAAUUGCUUAAAAAUGAAGUCUUUGUCAGUUAAUUGUCAUAUUUCUGUUUAUUCUGACUUGUAAUGAAAGAUAAAUGAGCAAAUAAAACCCAUUUAGUUGCUGCCAUGGCUGGGGCUCCACUCUGUUUUCGCCGCUCCCUUCACCCAGAGGAACCCUCUCAUGUGUGUGCUGAGGUGUCUGCGUGGCGUGGCAAAACCUGCCCUGCAGACCGGACCUCUCCAGUCUUCAAAGGAGGAAGAACUUAAUGUGAGGGAUUUGUUCAGGCUUAUUUGGUAACCUAGGAUUUGAAUUGGAUUCUUGGAGGCAUUCAUAACACAUUUGAAAAUGUUACAUUGUGUGAUUUUGUGUGUAAUCCCCAUAAUAAAU